rnacentral:ncRNA from 1 species
GAUACCGGACGACCGGUAUUCCUGAUCCGAUCAAUGGGGACGGCCCCG